UGGGGAAUCUUGGGCAAUGGGCGCAAGCCUGACCCAGCGACGCCGCGUGAGGGAUGACGGCCUUCGGGUUGUAAACCUCUUUCAGUACCGACGAAGCGCAAGUGACGGUAGGUACAGAAGAAGCACCGGCCAACUACGU
rnacentral:rRNA from 1 species